UACGGGGGGGGCAAGCGUUGUUCGGAAUUACUGGGCGUAAAGGGCUUGUAGGUGGCCAACUAAGUCAGACGUGAAAUCCCUCGGCUUAACCGGGGAACUGCGUCUGAUACUGGAUGGCUAGAGAUUGGGAGAGGGAUGCGGAAUUCCAGGUGUAGCGGUGAAAUGCGUAGAUAUCUGGAGGAACACCGGUGGCGAAGGCGGCAUCCUGGACCAACACUGACGCUGAGGAGCGAAAGCCAGGGGAGCAAACGGG
rnacentral:rRNA from 1 species